rnacentral:rRNA from 1 species
UACGUAGGGGGCUAGCGUUGUCCGGAAUCAUUGGGCGUAAAGAGCGUGUAGGCGGCCCGGUAAGUCCGCUGUAAAAGUCAAAGGCUCAACCUUUGAAUGUCAGUGGAUACUGCCGGGCUAAAGUCCGGAAGAGGCGAGUGGAACUCCUGGUGUAGCGGUGGAAUGCGCAGAUAUCAGGAAGAACACCAACGGCGAAGGCAGCUCGCUAGGACGGUACUGACGCUGAGACGCGAAAGCGUGGGGAGCGAACAGG